CGGAGGAUCCAAGCGUUAUCCGGAAUCAUUGGGUUUAAAGGGUCCGUAGGCGGCCCCGUAAGUCAGUGGUGAAAUCUCCCGGCUCAACCGGGAAAUUGCCAUUGAUACUGCAGGGCUUGAAUUAUUGGGAAGUAACUAGAAUAUGUAGUGUAGCGGUGAAAUGCUUAGAUAUUACAUGGAAUACCGAUUGCGAAGGCAGGUUACUAUCAAUACAUUGACGCUGAUGGACGAAAGCGUGGGUAGCGAACAGGAUUAGAUACCCUGGUAGUCCACGCCGUAAACGAUGGAUACUAGCUGUUCGGGGCAACCUGAGUGGCUAAGCGAAAGUGAUAAGUAUCCCACCUGGGGAGUACGUUCGCAAGAAUG
rnacentral:rRNA from 1 species